rnacentral:rRNA from 1 species
CUCAGAAGCUAAGCAGAGUCAGGCCUGGUUAGUACUUGGAUGGGAGAUCUCCCAGGAAGACCAGAUGCUGUAGGCA